UCACUAUCACCAUCGCUACUGCAAUCUUUCAUUAUCCAUCUUUUUAAAUUUGAAUUCUAUUUCAUUCUAAUUCAUAAUCGAUUCAUUCAACCCAAUUUGUUUUCUGUUUGCGACACUCUUUCGUUCUCCGUCAUUCAUCAUAACGCUACGCUAGAAAACCUCACAACACAACACGUUCGUGUAACUCGCUCACUCGACUCGCCCCGUAAUUCGUUCUCUUCGUUUUCCAUUUUUUCAUCAUGCCGAAGGCUAAAGCUGAUUCCAAACCCGCUGAUAACAGUUGCUUUCACUACUUGGGUUCUUGGGUUAAUUUUGAUGAUGUGGAAGCUAUUAAAGAAAAAGUUCCUUACAAUGUUUUCAAAGUUGAGUCCUUUCCAUGGCAGCUCAUGAAGUAUAUGAAGAUCAUCAUAACAGAAGGUUGCUGAUAAUUGUUCUGCUCUUAGGAAUAGUAGUAUUUUGCUACUACCACCAAGGAACAGUGACCAAUAUUAAAAGAAUGAUAUGCAAACUGAGGAUAUAUUUAUCAGCAGUUGAAGAAGAUCAUUAUGCAAAUGGUUCUGAUUUAUUAAUAUUCGGUUAUCUCACAAUUAAAGUAGCAAAAAAAUAACUUCUCAGAAGAAAAUAAGUUCGGAGAGGGUGGAUUUGGUGCUGUGUACAAGGUUGAAAAUUUUGGGUCUUUCAGGACAAGGGUGUACCUUCCAACUAGUGAUAUUUAUGUCGUGAUUAUGAAAUUAGGCUUACCGAAUCGGCAGAUUGGUUUGAAUGCACUUUCUAGAUCAUUGUCACAGAGAAGUAUGGCAAAAACGAUACAGGUCAUUGGAAAGGCUCGCGUGCCAAUUAUUAAAUUCGUUAAAGAAGAGUGCUCUUUCCUUUGAUAUAAGUUUUGAUAUAGACAAUGGACCUAAAGCUGCCUAGUAUAUUCAGGAAGCAGUGGCUAAGUGGCCUCAACUGCGGCCGUGGUGUUUGAUUUUGAAAGUAUUUUUACAACAAAGAAUUUAUUUUUUUAAUGAGGUAUGAGUUUUUCUUAGGAAUCUUGUAUCUCUUGCACUUAUCUCGGUUCUUGAUUUUCUAAUGGAAGAUUCUUGUAAGUAUGCUCUCCUAACUAUAUAUUUGUGUGGUGAUUCUAGAUUAACAUUUGCAUCACUUUUUUCAGCUCAUAAAGUAUAUGAAGAUCAUCAUAACAGAAGGUUGCUGAUAAUUGUUCUGCUUAGACUACUGCACUUCUCUUAGGAAUAGUAGUAUUUUGCUACUACCACCAAGGAACAGUGACCAAUAUUAAAAGAAUGAUAUACAAACUUAGGAUAUAUUUAUCAGCAGGUGAAGAAGAUCAUUAUGCAAAUGGUUCUGAUUUAUUAAUAUUCGGUUAUCUCACAAUUAAAGUAGCAAAAAAUAACUUCUCAGAAGAAAAUAAGUUAGGAGAGGGUGGAUUUGGUGCUGUGUACAAGGUAACAUUUCGAAAUUCAUCUGCUUGUGAAAUGUUUCGUGCAAAUAGGAACUUUGAAAUGUAAAUUGAAGUAUGAAUUGGAUAAUAAUGAUGCAAUCUUCCAGUAUGAAUUUCAUUUUUUUUAGAUGCAAAAUUGAAUAUGUCCCUUAAUUGAGUUUAUGUCC